CAUAGGGCAGUUACGAUGUAGGGAACAGAGAGACAGGUUGUGCUGGCAGACAACACUCCAUUUCUACUCAAUAAACCGGCUAGAGCAGUUGUGUAUUACUUCAACCACCUCCAUUAUAUUACUAAAACUCCAUCCAUUUUUUUCUAGACUUGAGGCAAUGACUCUGUGAAACAGUCUUGUAUAAAAGCAGCUGUAGACAAAAUGUCAACACAGUCAACGUGAAGCAGUCGUCUUGAUAACUCCUCUUUCCUCAAUAUGAAAUAUUUGUCGCUGAUCUUUGUGGUGGUGGCCCUGACCGCCCUGGUAGGGUUCACUCAAGCUGUGCCUAACCCUGGCCCCGCUGCUAACCCGGACACAGUUGUUGACCCAAAAGUUACUGGUUUGGCUAGUGGUUUAGGAAGCAUUAUUGCUCAGAAGCUAAACCUCGUUAAAAAUCUUUUUUAAUCAAUUAUUGCCUUGACACGUUCACAGUGAUUUCCACCAAGCAAACAAUCCGUCAGUAAAAAUCAAACACUAAUUAUAAAAACAUUUUAUUGAUAAAUAUGCAUUUGAAAUUCUGUAAUAAAGUUGGUAGAAUUACCGACAAUAUGUAAAGUAAAAGGACACAAGCGAGACGUUGCCACAAUAAAAAUGUUACAUUAGUUGCACUUGUGUCCUUUUACUUUACAUCCUAAAUUCUGUAGCUGUAAAGCCUAAGGUCGAGAGAAAAUGAGUUUAAAAUUCAGAACCAAAUGUUCGUGUACUGGAGGAACACUGAUAAGCUACCAGACCUACUCCAGUAUCAUCACAGUCCUUCCAGCUCCUCCAGAAUCUUACGUCUUAAACCUCCAGGAUUUGCAGCAUUGAGUAGUAAUCACUUAGUUGUU